GUACGCUGGCGGCACGCCUAACACAUGCAAGUCGAACGAAGUAGCAAUACUUAGUGGCAGACGGGUGAGUAACAUGUAGGUAUCUGCCCUUUGGCCUGGAAUAACACGAGGAAACUUGUGCUAAUACCGGAUAAGUCUUUACGGAGAAAGCUUUAUGCACCAUUGGAUGAGCCUGCACUUGAUUAGUUUGUUGGUGGGGUAAUGGCCUACCAAGACUGUGAUCAAUAGCUGAUUUGAGAGGAUGAUCAGCCACAUUGGGACUGAGACACGGCCCAAACUCCUACGGGAGGCAGCAGUGGGGAAUCUUGCACAAUGGAGGAAACUCUGAUGCAGCGAUGCCGCGUGAGUGAAGAAGGCCUUUGGGUUGUAAAGCUCUUUCGUCGGGGAAGAAAAUGACUGUACC
rnacentral:rRNA from 1 species